UUAUAUUUUAUAUUUUUAAUAAUUUAUUUAAAUAUUUAUGAUAUUUUAUUCUUUUAAUUUUUAAAUUAUUUAGUCAUUUUAUUUUU
rnacentral:miRNA from 1 species